GACGGGCCCGCACAAGCAGCGGAGCGUGUGGUUUAAUUCGAGGCUACACGAAGAACCUUUACCAGGGUUUGACAUGUCACGUGGUAGGAAUCCGAAAGGUGACCGACCCUUCGGGGAGCGUGCACAGGUUGUUGCAUGGCUGUCGUCAGCUCGUGUCGUGAGAUGUUCGGUUAAGUCCGCUAACGAGCGCAACCCUCGUCGUAUGUUAUAUGUGUCAUACGAGACUGCCGGUAAAAAGCCGGAGGAAGGUGAGGAUGAUGUCAAGUCAGCAUGACCUUUAUAUCCAGGGCUACACACACGCUACAAUGGUCUGUACAAUGGGUAGCCAAGCCGCGAGGCGGAGCCAAUCCUGAAAGCAGGCCUCAGUUCAGAUUGCAGUCUGCAACUCGACUGCAUGAAGCCGGAGUUGCUAGUAACCGCAGGUCAGCAAUACUGCGGUGAAUACGUUCCCGGGUCUU
rnacentral:rRNA from 1 species